rnacentral:rRNA from 1 species
GAUGAACGCUGGCGGCGUGCCUAAUACAUGCAAGUCGAGCGAACGGACGAGAAGCUUGCUUCUCUGAUGUUAGCGGCGGACGGGUGAGUAACACGUGGAUAACCUACCUAUAAGACUGGGAUAACUUCGGGAAACCGGAGCUAAUACCGGAUAAUAUUUUGAACCGCAUGGUUCAAAAGUGAAAGACGGUCUUUCUUUCACUUAUAGAUGGAUCCGCGCUGCAUUAGCUAGUUGGUAAGGUAACGGCUUACCAAGGCAACGAUGCAUAGCCGACCUGAGAGGGUGGUCGGACACACUGGAACUGAGACACAGUACAGACUCCUACGGGAGGAAGCAGUAGGGAAUCUUCCGCAAUGGGCGAAAGCCUGACGGAGCAACGCCGCGUGAGGGAUGAAGGUCUUCGGCUCGUAAAACUAUGUUAUUCGGGAAGAACAUAUGUGUAAGUAACUGUGCACAUCUUGACGGUACCUAAUCAGAAAGCCACGGCUAACUACGUG